GGGGAUGAAAGGAUUUCGACAGGGCAGAAGAGCCUUGGUCAGCGGGUAGCGGAGUUGCACCGCUAUAAAAGUAACACCUUAAAAUUAACUGACAAUAAUAAGACAGUUCUUAAGGCUGCCUAAGCGCGCCUUCGUUCUCUUUAAGUAGUGCCACGGACUUUCUGAGAGCGUCGAUUUAGUGGCGAACAUGAACGGGGAAGUGUUCCGCUCCCCGUCAGGUAAUAGGGACUACCGUAACCGAUAGGCUGUUUGCCGCCGCUCGGUGAGGGGAAUCAUAAACGACAAACUACACCCGUAGAGCCCUCGGUAAAGCUGUUUUGGACGCGGCUUCGAUUGCCGCCAUCUCCACCA
rnacentral:tmRNA from 1 species